rnacentral:rRNA from 1 species
AACGAACGCUGGCGGCAGGCCUAACACAUGCAAGUCGAACGCUCCGCAAGGGGAGUGGCGCACGGGUGAGUAACGCGUGGGAAUCUACCUAUUAGUAAGGAAUAACAGUUGGAAACGACUGCUAAUACCUUAUACGCCAUACGGGGGAAAGAUUUAUCGCUAAUAGAUGAGCCCGCGUAAGAUUAGCUAGUUGGUGAGGUAAUGGCGCACCAAGACUACGAUCUUUAGCUGGUCUGAGAGGAUGACCAGCCACACUGGAACUGAGACACGGUCCAGACACCUACGGGAGGCAGCAGUGGGGAAUAUUGCACAAUGGGCGAAAGCCUGAUCCAGCCAUGCCGCGUGAAUGAUGAAGGCCUUAGGGUUGUAAAGUUCUUUCGCCGCCGAGGAUAAUGACGGUAAGCGGAUAAGAAGCCCCGGCUAACUUCGUGCCAGCCGCCGCGGUAA